rnacentral:rRNA from 1 species
GAAGUUUUCAGAGAUGAGAAUGUGCCUUCGGGAACCGUGAGACAGGUGCUGCAUGGCUGUCGUCAGCUCGUGUUGUGAAAUGUUGGGUUAAGUCCCGCAACGAGCGCAACCCUUAUCCUUUGUUGCCAGCGGUCCGGCCGGGAACUCAAAGGAGACUGCCAGUGAUAAACUGGAGGAAGGUGGGGAUGACGUCAAGUCAUCAUGGCCCUUACGACCAGGGCUACACACGUGCUACAAUGGCGCAUACAAAGAGAAGCGACCUCGCGAGAGCAAGCGGACCUCAUAAAGUGCGUCGUAGUCCGGAUUGGAGUCUGCAACUCGACUCCAUGAAGUCGGAAUCGCUAGUAAUCGUGGAUCAGAAUGCCACGGUGAAUACGUUCCCGGGCCUUGUACACACCGCCCGUCACACCAUGGGAGUGAGUUGCAAAAGAAGUAGGUAGCUUAACCUUCGGGAGGGCGCUUACCACUUUGUGAUUCAUGACUGGGGUGAAGUCGUAACAAGGUAACCGUAGGGGAACCUGCGGUUGGAUCACCUCCUUACCUUAAAGA